AUUGAACGCUGGCGGCAGGACUAACACAUGCACGUAGGGAGAGCGGCGGACGGGUGAGUAAUGUAUGGGGAUCUGCCUGAUGGCGGGGGAUAACUACUGGAAACGGUAGCUAAUACAGCAUACCAUCAGAGGAACCCAUAUGGGAUUAGCUUGUAGGUGAGGUAACGGCUUACCUAGGCGACGAUCCCUAGCUGGUAUGAGAGGAUGAUCAGCCACACUGGGACUGAGACACGGCCCAGACUCCUACGUGAGUCAGCAGUGGGGAAUAUUGCACAAUGGGCGCAAGCCUGAUGCAGCCAUGCCGCGUGUAUGAAGAAGGCCUUCGGGUUGUAAAGUACUUUCAGUCGGGAGGCGUUACCGACAGAAGAAGCACCGGCUAACUCCGUGCCAGCAGCAGCGGUAAUUC
rnacentral:rRNA from 1 species